rnacentral:lncRNA from 1 species
UCGAGAGAAGGUGGGGGUGGCCCCGGUGGAUGAGAAGAUGUGAGAAGUGAGGCUGAGGUGGUUCGGUCUUGUGCGGAGGAGUGUCCCGAUGCCCCGGUGAGGAGUUGUGAGCGGCUGGAGAUUGUUGGCGUUCGGCGAGGCAGAUGGAGGCCUAAGAAGUAUUGGGGAGAGGUGAUUAGGCAUGACAUGGCUAGAAUGCGGGUUUCCGAG